rnacentral:rRNA from 1 species
UGGCGAUGCGUCUUAAGCAUGCAAGUCGAGCGGGCUUAUUCGGGCAACUGGAUAAGUUAGCGGCGAACUGGUGAGUAACACGUAGGUAAUCUGCCGUAGAGUGGGGGAUAACCCAUGGAAACAUGGACUAAUACCGCAUAUACUCUUGCUACAUAAGUAGAGUAGAGGAAAGGAGCAAUCCGCUUUACGAUGAGCCUGCGGCCUAUUAGCCUGUUGGUGGGGUAACGGCCUACCAAAGCUACGAUAGGUAGCCGACCUGAGAGGGUGACCGGCCACAUUGGGACUGAGAUACGGCCCAGACUCCUACGGGAGGCAGCAGCUGAGAAUCUUCCACAAUGGACGAAAGUCUGAUGGAGCGACAUCGCGUGAGGGAUGAAGGCCUUCGGGUUGUAAACCUAGGAAAUUAUCGAAGAAUGAGUGACAGUAGAUAAUGUAAGCCUCGGC